GUCUAUGGCCAUACCACACUGAAUGCGCCCGAUCUCGUCUGACCUCGGAAGCUAAGCAGGGUCGGGCCGGGUUAGUACUUGGAUGGAAAAAGGGCAGGGAAUACAGAUUCCAUGGUCC
rnacentral:rRNA from 1 species